UCACAAUGGUCAGGAUUUCUACAGGGAAACACCAAUUUUCAAACCAAAGCAGGAAUUUGCAUUUGCUAGAUCAGAAGCAGUUUGAAGUUUUGAAAUGGCUGAGAUUACUAGGAAAAACUUAAUGAUUUCGACGAAGGAAUCAUGCUGAUAACUCCACCUGAUGCAGAGAUAUGCAUUGGUUUAAAGGUUAACGGAGAUGAGGGGAAACAAGAAUUAGGAGCUUGGCGCCUUCUGCUGGAAAUUCAAAGGAAAACAAAGCUAGAGAAAUGGUUCUUUUCAUCAGAGAAUUUUUUUUAUCUGUUAUGGCUUAGUUACAUAUUAUUUCACUUACUAUCUUUCUAGAGGAGAUUCCUUUAUGCUCAUCCGUGAUGGCAUGACCAGCCCCCUCUUCCUUUUAUUCUUUCAAAUUUUCUU
rnacentral:lncRNA from 1 species